CAGAGGCGAACCAGGACGAGUGUCGAGGAAGUGGAGUUUGUAUGCAAGUGGGGUGAAGAAAAGAAAAAGAGAGAGAGAGAGACCCUCCUCUCUGUGGGACAACUCAUGAGAGAAGAUGAAGAACCACAUCACCAACGCCAUCUCUGACUUCUUCUUUGAGUACGAGACCCCGCGCCAGGUAUUGGUCAGGAACAGGAGGGUGGGAGUGGUGUGUCGUAUCAUCCAGCUGGGUGUCCUGGCGUACAUUAUUGGGUGGGUUUUCAUCUACGAGAAAGGCUACCAGUCCACGGACACGGCAAUAAGCUCCGUCUUCACCAAAAUGAAAGGCGUGGGCUACACCAGCGUGAAUGGGAACGAGAGAGUCUGGGACGUGGCCGACUACGUCUUCCCACCGCAGGGAGACUCGUCUUUUGUGGUGAUGACAAACUACAUCAUAACUGAGGGCCAGAAUAUGGGAAAGUGUCCCGAGCUGAAAGGCAAACACAACUGCAGCUCGGAUGCCGACUGUGAAGGAGGGAGUUACAAACGUACGGGACAUGGGGAAAUGACGGGAAUCUGCGUGAAUGCCACAAAGACCUGUGAGGUGCUGGCUUGGUGUCCCAUUGAGGACGAUCACGUCAUACCGUACCCUCCUAUGUUGAUGUCUGCGGAGAACUACACCCUGUUCAUCAAAAAUUCUAUCACUUUCCCCUUAUUUGGCGUCACCCGGAGUAACCUGGUGGAAGGCGUUGAUGCAUCAUACAUCAGUAAAUGUCUUUACCAUCCAGAGAAUGCUCCUCUGUGUCCAAUAUUCAAACUGGGAGACAUAGUGAAACUCUCUGGCUUUAACUUUGAAACCAUCGCCCAAGUGGGAGGGGCCAUUGGCAUUGAGAUCGACUGGACGUGUAACCUCGACGUGAACGUCAAACACUGUAAACCACAGUACAACUUCCACGGUCUCUAUGGGAACCCUGAUGAGACGGACAAGGCCAGAGCAUCAGUGGGCUACAACUUCAGGUAUGCAAAGCAUUAUUUGGAGAACAAAACUGAGAAGAGGACCCUUCUCAAAGUGUUUGGGAUCAGACUGGACAUUAUUGUUCAAUCCCUGGCAAGAAAAUUUGAUAUCAUCCCAACAUUGACUGCUAUAGGCUCUGGAGUGGGCAUUUUUGGAGUGGCCACUGUGGUGUGUGACUUGAUGUUGCUCUAUUUGCUGCCAAAAAGAGAAUUUUACAAGAAUAUGAAAUUCAAACAUACAGAUUCACAUAUACAGAACUAUGUAAGGCACUGAUCAGUCCAAAAAUCCUGAUUCGGAGGCAGGCAGCAUAGAGACAGAUCUAUCUCAAAAGUGACUGACGGGCGAACUUUCAAGCGAGUGGGCCUGUUGUUGUUUUCCAAGCACACUGCACUGGACACACAAACACACUGUAAGUGGACUGGGACUGAAAAGGACGACAUCCAAUGACCUUGCUGCAGAUGACCUGCGUUUCCUUUUGUGAUCUCCAGCAGCAUCUCUGUGUGUACUGCCAUCCUGAAAGACUUAAGACUUUUGCAAUUGAUGGCAUCGCUCAGCUGUGUGUGCAUUUUCUUCUUUUUUCUUUUUUUUUUUUGGGCGUAGCUUGGUUUGCUUUUGUUGAUGCACCGGGUGUAACCUGCACUCGACAUCCGUCCAAGUGUGUGUGUGUGUGUGUGACAAGACACUCCCAUGUACCUGUGUGAGCACACGAAUCACCCCACAGUCAGUCAUUACCUCCGUCACUGUCUUUCUUUGACACAUGAAGUGUGGACGUGCCGCCCAAGAGUGAUUCACCCGCUGUGUGUGCACCUUGUGAUCCACUGUUACUGAACUGCAAUAAAAGAUGUACAGGGAUGCCCCAACCCCCCCCCCGCUUUUUCUUUUGCCUCGUGGUGCAAGCAGUCAAACAGGUAAAACUGACUAAAUAAAUAACUAACUAAAUAAAUAAAGGUUUUAACUUUG